AGUAGUUUGAUCAUGGCUCAGAACGAACGCUGGCGGCAUGCCUAACACAUGCAAGUCGAACGAGACCUUCGGGUCUAGUGGCGCACGGGUGCGUAACGCGUGGGAACCUGCCUUUAGGUUCGGAAUAACUCAGAGAAAUUUGAGCUAACACCGGAUAAUGUCUUCGGACCAAAGAUUUAUCGCCUUUAGAUGGGCCCGCGUAAGAUUAGCUAGUUGGUGGGUAAAGGCCUACCAAGGCGACGAUCUUUAGCUGGUCUGAGAGGAUGAUCAGCCACACUGGGACUGAGACACGGCCCAGACUCCUACGGGAGGCAGCAGUGGGGAAUAUUGGACAAUGGGCGAAAGCCUGAUCCAGCAAUGCCGCGUGAGUGAUGAAGGCCUUAGGGUUGUAAAGCUCUUUUACCCGAGAUGAUAAUGACAGUAUCGGGAGAAUAAGCUCCGGCUAACUCCGUG
rnacentral:rRNA from 1 species